rnacentral:rRNA from 1 species
GACGAACGCUGGCGGCGUGCUUAACACAUGCAAGUCGAACGGAAAUGUUCUGCUUCUUGGGUACUCGAGUGGAGAACGGGAGAGUAACACUAGGAUGUUCAGCCCUGCACUUCGGGAUAAGCAUAGCAAACUGGGUCUAAUACUGGUUAGGAGUCACAUUAAGUGUGAUGGUUGGAAAGUUUUUUCGGUUUAUGAUGAGAUCUCGGCAUAUCAGCUUGUUGGUGGGGUAAUGGCUUACAAAGGCGGCGACGGGUAGCCGGCCUGAGAGGGUGGAAGGCCACGUAGAGACUGAGAGGCGGCCAAGACUCCGACGGGAGGAAGAAGGGGGGAAGAUUGCACAAGGGGCGCAGGCCUGAUGCAGCGACGCGGCGUGUGGGAUAACGGCGUUCGGGUUGUAAACUCCUUUUGCUAGGGACAAAGCUUUUUGUGACGGUACCUAGCUAAGAAGCAACGGCUAACUACGUG